UUGUGCCCAGGUGGCCAAGAAGGCCAACAGCAUCCUGGCCUGUAUAAGCAAUAGCAUAACCAGCAGGGCCAAGGCACUGAUCAUCCCCCUGUACUGGGCACUUCACAGAGCUGAGAAGGACUCCAGACCACACUGCUUCGGUAUGCAUGCUUCAACAAAGUCAGAUUAAAGUCGCUCUCUACACUUCUAGUCUAAAAAUCUCUGGAUCCUAAGAAGAAAUUUCAGGCUGAGUGAAUUGGAAGAUUCUCCCCUAAUUUGUAAUGUGAAAUAGUUCCUAGAUGGAACAUAUGAAAAACUACUCUGUGCCCAACCCAGCAAAAUAUUAUUUAAUUAAAACCAAAUCUUUCUUUACUGUUAGGAAAGAUCUGUGUAUAAAAACAUCCAGCAUGUGUACUGUACAUCCAUGUUAUUUGUAAAUCCAUGCUCAUUCAGAAGCAAGGGAUGGUAGGCAACCUUUACAUUGUCUUUAACAUCACUGUGUAGCUUCAGUUAAUACUGAUUAUUUUGUUUCCUUUCUCUGCCCUAUACACAUUUCUGUAUUUGUAAUUCACAGUUACUAAAAGGUUAUUUGUUUCUUGUAUUUGUACUUUCCUGUUAAAUGUUUUUUGUGAAGCUUUCCAAACAACCUCUGAACUCAGACUUUGUUUCCAUUACCUGCAAAUUAUCUUCCAGAUUUUCUAUUUCUUACAACAGCAAUAGUUACUGUCAAAGAUGGUCCCUUAUGACUGUGGGACAAGUGAGUUUAUAGUUAACACAUGGCCUGUUAAUAAAUGGCCUUAGACUGACUACCUGGAAAAA